GGCACUGUGGCGGAGUGGUUAUCGCGUCAGCCUCGAAAGCUGAUCCCUUCGGGGGCCUGAGUUCGAAUCUCAGCGGUGUCG
rnacentral:tRNA from 13 species